UAGGGAAUCUUCGGCAAUGGGGGGGACCCUGACCGAGCAACGCCGCGUGAGUGAAGAAGGUUUUCGGAUCGUAAAGCUCUGUUGUUAAGGAAGAACGAGUGUGAGAAUGGAAAGUUCAUACUGUGACGGUACUUAACCAGAAAGGGACGGCUAACUACGUGCCAGCAGCCGCGGUAAUACGUAGGUGGCAAGCGUUGUCCGGAUUUAUUGGGCGUAAAGCGAGCGCAGGCGGUUAGAUAAGUCUGAAGUUAAAGGCAGUGGCUCAACCAUUGUAGGCUUGGAAACUGUUUAACUUGAGUGCAGAAGGGGAGAGUGGAAUUCCAUGUGUAGCGGUGAAAUGCGUAGAUAUAUGGAGGAACACCGGUGGCGAAAGCGGCUCUCUGGUCUGUAACUGACGCUGAGGCUCGAAAGCGUGGGGAGCGAACAGG
rnacentral:rRNA from 1 species